rnacentral:rRNA from 1 species
AGAGCGAACGCUGGCGGCAGGCUUAACACAUGCAAGUCGAACGCAUCCUUCGGGGUGAGUGGCAGACGGGUGAGUAACACGUGGGAACGUACCCUUCGGUUCGGAACAACUCUGGGAAACUGGAGCUAAUACCGGAUACGCCCUUUUGGGGAAAGGUUUACUGCCGAAGGAUCGGCCCGCGUCUGAUUAGCUAGUUGGUGGGGUAAUGGCCUACCAAGGCGACGAUCAGUAGCUGGUCUGAGAGGAUGAUCAGCCACAUUGGGACUGAGACACGGCCCAAACUCCUACGGGAGGCAGCAGUGGGGAAUAUUGGACAAUGGGCGCAAGCCUGAUCCAGCCAUGCCGCGUGAGUGAUGAAGGCCUUAGGGUUGUAAAGCUCUUUUGUCCGGGACGAUAAUGACGGUACCGGAAGAAUAAGCCCGGCUAACUUCGUGCCAGCAGCCGC